rnacentral:rRNA from 1 species
GACGAACGCUGGCGGCGCGCCUAACACAUGCAAGUCGAACGGGGCUUACUGGAUGAAGUUUUCGGAUGGAUGAAAGUAAGCUUAGUGGCGGACGGGUGAGUAACACGUGAGCAACCUGCCUUCCAGUGGGGAAUAACGUUUGGAAACGAACGCUAAUACCGCAUAACACAGAGAGACGGCAUACGUUUUUCUGUCAAAGAUUUAUCGCUGGAAGAUGGGCUCGCGUCCGAUUAGAUAGUUGGCGGGGUAACGGCCCACCAAGUCGACGAUCGGUAGCCGGACCGAGAGGUUGAACGGCCACACUGGGACUGAGACACGGCCCAA